rnacentral:rRNA from 1 species
UACGGAGGGUGCAAGCGUUAUCCGGAUUCACUGGGUUUAAAGGGUGCGUAGGCGGGCAUUUAAGUCAGUGGUGAAAUACCUGAGCUUAACUUGGGAACUGCCAUUGAUACUAUUUUGUCUUUGAAUAUUGUGGAGGUAAGCGGAAUAUGUCAUGUAGCGGUGAAAUGCUUAGAUAUGACAUAGAACACCUAUUGCGAAGGCAGCAGGCUAAGCGAAAGAUUGACGCUGAGGCUCGAAAAGCGUGGGGGAUCAAAACAGG